GACGAACGCUGGCGGCGUGCCUAAUACAUGCAAGUUGAGCGCUGAAGGUUGGUCCUUGUACCAACUGGAUGAGCAGCGAACGGGUGAGUAACGCGUGGGGAAUCUGCCUUUGAGCAGGGGACAACAUUUGGAAACGAAUGCUAAUACCGCAUAAAAACUUUAAACACAAGUUUUAAGUUUGAAAGAUGCAAUUGCAUCACUCAAAGAUGAUCCCGCGUUGUAUUAGCUAGUUGGUGAGGUAAAGGCUCACCAAGGCGAUGAUACAUAGCCGACCUGAGAGGGUGAUCGGCCACAUUGGGACUGAGACACGGCCCAAACUCCUACGGGAGGCAGCAGUAGGGAAUCUUCGGCAAUGGACGAAAGUCUGACCGAGCAACGCCGCGUGAGUGAAGAAGGUUUUCGGAUCGUAAAACUCUGUUGGUAGAGAAGAACGUUGGUGAGAGUGGAAAGCUCACCAAGUGACGGUAACUACCCAGAAAGGGACGGCUAACUACGUG
rnacentral:rRNA from 1 species